rfam:Triticum aestivum genome assembly, contig: Triticum_aestivum_CS42_TGACv1_scaffold_050272_1BS
AUAAUACUCCCUCCAUCCGGAAUUACUUGUCAUCAAAAUGGAUGUGUCUAGAACUAAAAUACAUCUAGAUACAUCCAUUUCAAUGACAAGUAUUUUCAGACGGAGGGAGUAGUAG